rnacentral:rRNA from 1 species
AACAAAACUACUCGCCAGAGUACUACCGGCAAUAGCUUAAAACUCAAAGGACUUGGCGGUGCUUUAUACCCUUCUAGAGGAGCCUGUUCUAUAAUCGAUAAACCCCGAACCUCACCAUUCCUGGCUAAUUCAGUCUAUAUACCGCCAUCUUCAGCAAACCCUAAAAAGGUAAAGGCAAAAUCACACAUAAAAACGUUAGGUCAAGGUGUAACCUAUGGAAUGGGAAGAAAUGGGCUACAUUUUCUAAUAGAAAAUCUAAUACGAAAGUUAUUAAAUCUAAAGGAGGAUUUAGCAGUAAAUGAAAGUGCUUUGAAUGCCAUGAAGCACGCACACACC